GGCAGUGUCACAAAGACAUCUGUCCCAAGUGUGACUUUGGACCGAAAUACGGUGAUUAUGAUGAUGCUUAUUGGCCAAGUAUUGUAGAAGUUACUUUGGGAUUGCAAAAUGUUUUCCCGUCCUUUUCAGUGGUCAGCGUUCCCUCAGGAAGCUUAAUCCUGACAGAAACUGAGGAAAGAAGUUUACAAAACAUCGACACAGGAAAUGGUGGGACUGCUCAGAAUUCUCCAGAAGGUUCCAGAAAGCUGCCAGGAGUUAGGACUGUGUGUGAGCUACACUCAAUGGGCUUUGGAAGAUUGAGGUCUCUGCAACCUGGGGCAGGAAAGUCGAACCAGGUGGAAGGAAGGAAAACCCAGGUGUGGAGGGAGCAGGCCUGGGACCCUGCUGCUGGACAGCAGGGAAUAGCAGCUGAGGAGUGCUACCGACCGUAGGGCAGCAAACACGGGAUUUCACGAGGAGAUACAGGUUCUCUGAAAGGUGGGAGCAGGUUCGGCGAUGACAGUCAGACAAAAGCACUCAACACCGAGGUGAAGUUUGCCAAUGCUGCUGCAAUUUUAUUUCUAACUCCAGGUGUUUAUAUACUAGUUUCAAGGGCAC
rnacentral:lncRNA from 1 species